rnacentral:rRNA from 1 species
GACGAACGCUGGCGGCGUGCUUAACACAUGCAAGUCGAACGGAAAGGCCCCUUUGGGGGUACUCGAGUGGCUAACGGGUGAGUAACACGUGCGUAACCUGCCCUUGACUUCGGGAUAACUUCAGGAAACUGGGGCUAAUACCGGAUAGGAAUCCUUGCUGCAUGGUGGGGGUUGGAAAGCUUCGGCGGUUUGGGAUGGACUCGCGGCUUAUCUGCUUGUUGGUGGGGUAGUGGCUUACCAAGGCUUUGACGGGUAGCCGGCCUGAGAGGGCGACCGGCCACAUUGGGACUGAGAUAAGGCCCAGACUCCUACGGGGGGCAGCAGUGGGGAAGAUUGCAAAAUGGGCGGAAGGCUGAUGCAGCAACGCCGCGGGCGGGAUGACGGCCUUCGGGUUGGAAAACGCUUUCAGCAGGGGCGAAGCUUGUGGUGACGGUACCUGCAGAAGAAGCACCGGCUAACUACGUG